AGUGUUUUGUAUUGAAACGUGCUCGUUAUAUCGUGGCAGUUCGUGGAAAAGAGGAAAAGAUCUGUUCAGCUGCAAAGAGGUUUCCGAGGAUUAAAAUUGUUUUGAGAUUGUUCUAUUUCUAUACUUGUAUAAGGUAACUUGUAGGUGCGGUAGGGAAGCUUGGAGACUGAUCUUUUGCUUUUAAUUGUAUCGUGCACAAGUGAUUUGUUUGGAUUAACCUAUAUACCUAUACUAAUUCGUCGCAGAUGUUCUUUCAUGAGGUUUUCUCGCAGUUGAAUGAAAAUGACCGGCUUUGAGCACUGUCAAUUUUUCGUGGAACGAAAGAAGCGUUACUGUCGCAUGUCGGUGAAGAAGGGCAAAAGCUUCUGUGGAGAGCACGAGUCCACUCAGAGCGACUGGAACAAGGUUAUCGAUGAGAGGAUAGACUGUCCAUUGGAUCCUUCACAUACAAUUUACAAAUCCAAGUUGACAAAGCACUUGAAAGUUUGCAAUGCCAAAGUCAAACUUGAUGCACAGCCAUCAUACGUGGUCAAAGGAAUCAAUUUAGGGGAGACUGUCAAGUGUCUUAAUGAUAUUCCUCUGUCGUUGAUCGAGCAAAGUGUCAUAGAUGUUGUUAUUGAAAAAAUAAAAAAUUCUUUUGACAAAUUGCCAGAAAUACCCGAGGAAAUAUUAACACAUGAAGUGCUGAAAGGAGAAUUAAGUAAUCCAACAUAUGGACCUGAAGCCAAAAGACACUUGUUACAAACAGCAUCUUUACUGGGACACUUGGAAAAUGCUGACCUUGUUCAUGAAAACACGUGCUUCAUAGAAUUUGGAGCAGGUCGAGGUAAGCUAACAUAUUGGUUGGCCCAGGCAACAAAGAACCAGACAAAUUCUUCUAUUCUCCUGAUUGACAGAUCUAGUCAUAGGCAUAAGAAAGAUAACAAAUUGAAAAAUGAAAAGGUUGAAAUCAAAGUGACAAGAGUUCGUGCAGACAUUGCUGACUUGAAGUUAAGUGAUGUACCAGAAGCUCAACAGAUGCAGUGCCAAGUUGCAUUUGCAAAGCAUAUAUGCGGUGUUGCCACAGAUUUAACUUUGCGCUGUAUAACAAACUCAAUUCCAAAAAGUAAAAGUUCCAAAUUUGGAAUGGUGAUUGCCUUUUGCUGUCAUCACCAAUGCAAUUGCUCUCACUAUGUUGGUCACAAAUACCUAGAGAAGGAGGGUUUUACAAAUGAUGAAUUUCCAAUACUCUGUAAAAUUGCUAGUUGGGCAACAUGUGGCAUUAAGCUGAACAAGGCCAGUGAAGAUUCUGAACGUGAAAUGUUAGGACGCAAAGUAAAGACUUUACUGAAUCAGGGUAGGCUAGAAUAUUUGAAAUCCUUUGGAUUCAGUGGUCGACUAGUGCAUUAUACAACCACAGACAUAACUUUGGAGAAUCAAGCAAUUGUAGCUACUCUAACUAGGGAAAGUAUAUGUGGUGAAAAUUAGGAAACUUAAUUAUUAUAGUUUCUGAAUCUUUAUAUUUGAAAACGAGCACAACAAACAAUAAAUUAUCAACAAGUAUACCUAUAAUAUCUACACUGGUAAAAGCAUAUUUUGCAAAAGAGCGUUUAUACCAAGAGAACAAAAUAAAACUCAAAUCAGUAUUAAACCGAAAAACUGGACUAAAACUACUGAAAAGUCACCUUUCCAACGCUCCGACUUUGCCAACAUAUGCCAGAGCAGCUGUUGCUGUCUGGCUUUUUUAUGGUCUAUGCCCAUAUGCCUCACCCACGCGUUCCAUCCCCUCCCGUGCGCGCGGAGUCAGAAAGACGCGGCGGCGGUGCGCCCCGCCCAAUAUACGAGAGUUGACUCCACUACGCUACUCACGUCGGCCACAAAACAUUCCAUUCACGCGCUAAUUGCUCAUGUCGACGAGCCCUUGCAACGAAUUCCACUGGUUGGGCGUAGUGUAGUCCUCGACGAAAGAUUGUCUUCGUGGAGGCGAAGCUACGGAAGCGGAAUCAAAAAGACGACCGUGACGCCUUCAGAAAGAAUCCAUACUUCAAAGAGGAGGAUCAAAUUAAGGGGGACUUCACUCCGUUCUACGUAGCAAUCACUAUUUGCUCCAUUAUUGGUGCCUUUCUGAUCAUCAUUAAUAUUGCUUUCUGCUACUGCUCGCAGUAUCGAGGCUACUGGAAAAACAGAAAUACUGGUAACCGUUGGAUCCAGUCGCUGUGGACUGUAACACCCCAUAACAAUCCACCUCUAGACCUGACUGAAUUGGAAGAAGGUGUCAAGACUUACCAAGCAAACGCAAACAAUACUGUGCAAUAUUUCCCAGAAGACACAGAGAGCAUUGGACAUCAGCAGGGACAACAGUACAUGGAACUUCAAAAACGAGAGAGUGAUAUAUAAGUGACUAUCGCUGUAUCCAAAGUCUUAGCAUACUGAAAACUGACGAGACUUAAAGAUGAGUCUGCACGUAUUCUGGCCAGCUUCCGCCGUUCUGACGCUAUUCGUAGUCGGCGUCAUAAUGAUAUUGUUGAAAUUCGGACCGCGAAUCUGCAAAACGAGACACGAGCCGUUGCCUACCGAGCAGGACUGGAUGGGCAAGUCUUACGAGCAUGAAUUGUCGGUGUCCAUAGCCUGAUUCAGCUCAAAGCAACAAUGUGUCUCAUCACUGCACAAAAAAUGCUGUUAAUCAAUCUUGCUUUUAUACGAUAUUGAUCGUUCUUUUAUUUGAAUCUCACUUUUUGAUAUAACUUUUUAUCUUUGAAAAAUUUGCCUUUAGAUUCAAUCACGAUUCCGUCCAUGAAUAGAUUGUAACUAUUAAUUACUUAGCUAAGAGUUUUUAUUUUGUAUACAGAGCAAAAUGUAUAUCCAGUUUUUUAUCGCAAACUUCUUCAUGAAGUGCGAUCAUGCAACUUUGUAGAGAUGUUCUGCUUGUUUUGUACAGAUUAAACUAACUUUUAAUUAGAGAAACUGCACCUGAUUACUAAUGUAAGAGCUUAAGAAGUACAAGCCUCUCAAACUGCCUUAAACUUUUAGAAACUUUUCUAAUAUUGAUAUUAAGAAUGGGUAGUGCAAGUGAGUAUUUUUGCAAACCGUCCAAGAGAGAUUUUCGAAGAGAGAGAAAUCUCACAGAAUCUCCGUUAUUCUACAAGUUUUUAUACUAUAGACAAAAUUUUCUAUGAAAUUUUAUACUUUACAUUAUAUACAUGCUUUUUUGUAGUGUAUCUAGCUCAUCAGCUAGAUAAAGUUUGUAUCUUGUCUACCGAUGUUUUUACAAUAAAGUAAAAUUUUAUCUUA